rnacentral:rRNA from 1 species
GGUUAAGCGACUAAGCGUACACGGUGGAUGCCCUGGCAGUCAGAGGCGAUGAAGGACGUGCUAAUCUGCGAUAAGCGUCGGUAAGGUGAUAUGAACCGUUAUAACCGGCGAUUUCCGAAUGGGGAAACCCAGUGUGUUUCGACACACUAUCAUUAACUGAAUCCAUAGGUUAAUGAGGCGAACCGGGGGAACUGAAACAUCUAAGUACCCCGAGGAAAAGAAAUCAACCGAGAUUCCCCCAGUAGCGGCGAGCGAACGGGGAGCAGCCCAGAGCCUGAAUCAGUGUGUGUGUUAGUGGAAGCGUCUGGAAAGGCGCGCGAUACAGGGUGACAGCCCCGUACACAAAAAUGCACAUGCUGUGAGCUCGAUGAGUAGGGCGGGACACGUGGUAUCCUGUCUGAAUAUGGGGGGACCAUCCUCCAAGGCUAAAUACUCCUGACUGACCGAUAGUGAACCAGUACCGUGAGGGAAAGGCGAAAAGAACCCCGGCGAGGGGAGUGAAAAAGAACCUGAAACCGUGUACGUACAAGCAGUGGGAGCACGCUUAGGCGUGUGACUGCGUACCUUUUGUAUAAUGGGUCAGCGACUUAUAUUCUGUAGCAAGGUUAACCGAAUAGGGGAGCCGAAGGGAAACCGAGUCUUAACUGGGCGUUAAGUUGCAGGGUAUAGACCCGAAACCCGGUGAUCUAGCCAUGGGCAGGUUGAAGGUUGGGUAACACUAACUGGAGGACCGAACCGACUAAUGUUGAAAAAUUAGCGGAUGACUUGUGGCUGGGGGUGAAAGGCCAAUCAAACCGGGAGAUAGCUGGUUCUCCCCGAAAGCUAUUUAGGUAGCGCCUCGUGAAUUCAUCUCCGGGGGUAGAGCACUGUUUCGGCAAGGGGGUCAUCCCGACUUACCAACCCGAUGCAAACUGCGAAUACCGGAGAAUGUUAUCACGGGAGACACACGGCGGGUGCUAACGUCCGUCGUGAAGAGGGAAACAACCCAGACCGCCAGCUAAGGUCCCAAAGUCAUGGUUAAGUGGGAAACGAUGUGGGAAGGCCCAGACAGCCAGGAUGUUGGCUUAGAAGCAGCCAUCAUUUAAAGAAAGCGUAAUAGCUCACUGGUCGAGUCGGCCUGCGCGGAAGAUGUAACGGGGCUAAACCAUGCACCGAAGCUGCGGCAGCGACGCUUAUGCGUUGUUGGGUAGGGGAGCGUUCUGUAAGCCUGUGAAGGUGUGCUGUGAGGCAUGCUGGAGGUAUCAGAAGUGCGAAUGCUGACAUAAGUAACGAUAAAGCGGGUGAAAAGCCCGCUCGCCGGAAGACCAAGGGUUCCUGUCCAACGUUAAUCGGGGCAGGGUGAGUCGACCCCUAAGGCGAGGCCGAAAGGCGUAGUCGAUGGGAAACAGGUUAAUAUUCCUGUACUUGGUGUUACUGCGAAGGG